rnacentral:rRNA from 1 species
AUGGUUAAACAUCUGGGAUAUGCAAUACCAAAAACAGGUUUUGCAAUGUAUUGGUGCAUCCCUGGAAAAAGUAUAGAUGAUGGUUUGCAAGUAGUUAGUUUGGAAACUCAUGCUAGGGCUAUGGUAGCAGCAAGUCAACAGAACAAAGUACUAAUUGUGUUCAUUGAUCACAACAAUAUGCUGGAGAAGCAGUUGUGGGAUGAUGUUCUGUUGCAAAAAGUUGAGCUACCUACAGUUAUCAGUCCAGUGAAGACAAGUUAUGUGCAUGAGCAGAGGGGUGGGCCAUCAGCACCAACUUAUGGUGAGCACCUGUUCAGCAUGUAUCGUGGUCCUCAUGUAGAAGAUGCAGGUGAGAAGGAAGCUCGCAUUAGGAGAAAUAUUUUCCCCAAUACUUGCAAUGCUGAUGCUGUCAUGGGAAGGAAGGGGCAAGAAAAGGUUGAUUGUGCUGGUGCUAAUGAGCAGUUUUAUGAAGCUGGUGCCGAUGAGGAAUACUAUGCAGGAGAAGAUUCCAGUGAGGAGGAGGAAUAUUAUGGUGGAACAGAUACUAGCUCUGACUCGGAUUUUGCAGAUUCAGACUAUGACUUUGAGGAUGGAGAUGAUGCACUAUAUGAUACAAAUGUGGACAAAGAUUUGAAGGAUGAGCUUGUAGCUGAAAAGAGGAAAGGGAAAAAGGUGUCAGAAGAAUUAGAAGAGGAAGAUGUGGUAGAUAUGGAUGAGUUGAAGUUGCCAGAGUCAGAAUCAACACUCAAGUUCAACUUCAAGACAUCCAACCCAAUGACAGACAUGGAGAACCCCACUUUCAAACUUGGGAUGACAUUUUCAAACCCAGCAGAAUUGAGAAAGGCAUUAGCAAAUUACAUUGUGAAGAACAGAGUGAAAGUUAGGAAAACAAGGGACAAUGCAAAAAGGUUAGAAGCCAUAUGUGUUGAGGACUGCCGCUGGAAAAUGAUUGUUGUUAAAGACUCAAGAAGUGGUUGCUUUCUCAUUAAAACACUAGUGGAUGUGCACACUUGUGAAAAGGUUUGGGAUAUGAAAGAAAUGACAGCUACUUUGCUAGCACAAAAAUUUCAUCAGGAUUUCAGAGAUGACCCUCACAUGAGUCUGCUGGCUUUUUCCAACAAGGUUGAGACAAAGUACAACAUGAAGGUGGCCAGGUUCAAAUUGUCAAGGGCAAGAUUAAUUUGUUUGAAAAAAAUAGAGGAGAUGAGGAGGCACAAUAUGGAAAAGUAUGGGACUAUGGUCACGAGCUGA